GAUGAACGCUAGCUACAGGCUUAACACAUGCAAGUCGAGGGGAAACGGCAUUAAGUGCUUGCACUUUUUGGACGUCGACCGGCGCACGGGUGAGUAACGCGUAUCCAACCUUCCCAUGACUAAGGGAUAACCUGCCGAAAGGCAGACUAAUACCUUAUGGUCUUCACUGACGGCAUCAGAUGUGAAGUAAAGAUUUAUCGGUUAUGGAUGGGGAUGCGUCUGAUUAGCUUGUUGGCGGGGUAACGGCCCACCAAGGCAACGAUCAGUAGGGGUUCUGAGAGGAAGGUCCCCCACAUUGGAACUGAGACACGGUCCAAACUCCUACGGGAGGCAGCAGUGAGGAAUAUUGGUCAAUGGACGGAAGUCUGAACCAGCCAAGUAGCGUGCAGGAUGACGGCCCUAUGGGUUGUAAACUGCUUUUGUAUGGGGAUAAAGUUAGGGACGUGUCCCUAUUUGCAGGUACCAUACGAAUAAGGACCGGCUAAUUCCGUGCCAGCAGCCGCGGUAAUACGGAAGGUCCAGGCGUUAUCCGGAUUUAUUGGGUUUAAAGGGAGCGUAGGCUGGAGAUUAAGUGUGUUGUGAAAUGUAGACGCCCAACGUCUGAAUUGCAGCGCAUACUGGUUUCCUUGAGUACGCACAACGUUGGCGGAAUUCGUCGUGUAGCGGUGAAAUGCUUAGAUAUGACGAAGAACUCCGAUUGCGAAGGCAGCUGACGGGAGCGCAACUGACGCUUAAGCUCGAAGGUGCGGGUAUCAAACAGGAUUAGAUACCCUGGUAGUCC
rnacentral:rRNA from 1 species